UACGUAGGUGGCAAGCGUUGUCCGGAUUUAUUGGGUUUAAAGGGUGCGUAGGCGGGUUGGUAAGUCCGUGGUGAAAUCUCCAAGCUUAACUUGGAAACUGCCCGUGGAUACUAUCAAUCUUGAAUAUCGUGGAGGUAAGCGGAAUAUGUCAUGUAGCGGUGAAAUGCUUAGAUAUGACAUAGAACACCAAUUGCGUAGGCAGCUUACUACACGAUCAUUGACGCUGAGGCACGAAAGCGUGGGGAGCAAACAGG
rnacentral:rRNA from 1 species